UUCUACCAUGGGAAGAUGCAGUGUUUUUCCCCUACAAGGAUUCAGCAUCAAGGCUUCAUCUUGGAAGCAGAGAUUGGACCUUCACCAGAAAAUGGAACACGGCGGCACCUUGAUCUUGAACUUCCCAGCCUCCAGAACUGAGAGAAAAUAAAUUUUAUAUCAUAGCAGCACAAACAAAGACAGGCUCCUUCAGCAGCUUCACAGAACCUUGGAUGCCUCCUGGCCCAGGAGCCAGUGGGGACACCUGGCCAUUCCUGGGAGGUGGAGAAAGGAUGCAUGGAGGAAGAGAGGCAUCCACCUGGCUCAGAGAACACUAAGCAGCAAAAUAUUGAAAGAGUUGUAGUGCUUCUCUUAACUGCUUCUAUUAAAAUGCAAGAGGAGAGAAAUGACUUAAAGAUAAAAUUUAUAAUUAAAAGAGAAGCAGAAUGUAAAGAUUUGGAAAAUUCACAGCCUGGGCAUAUAAAGAUUUAAAAAAUGUGUUGGGGAGAAAACCGAGAGUGGCCAAAUGACUGUUGAUAUGGAGAUUACUAUGGAUACAAGGAAGCCAGCUUUCUGCCAUGUGAGGACGCUACCAGAAGGCCCUCAUCAGAAACUCAAACCUGCAAGAGCCUUGAUCUUGGACUUCCCAGCCCCCAGAAGUAUGAGAAAAUAAAUUUCCAUUUUUAUAAAUUA